CACUGUAGAGCUAGCCUAGCAUUAACCUUUUAAGUUAAAGACUGAGAGGACUUCCUCUCUACAGUGA
rnacentral:tRNA from 1 species